CUUAACACAUGCAAGUCGAGGGGCAGCAUGGUCUUAGCUUGCUAAGGCCGAUGGCGACCGGCGCACGGGUGAGUAACACGUAUCCAACCUGCCGUCUACUCUUGGACAGCCUUCUGAAAGGAAGAUUAAUACAAGAUGGCAUCAUGAGUCCACAUGUUCACAUGAUUAAAGGUAUUCCGGUAGACGAUGGGGAUGCGUUCCAUUAGAUAGUAGGCGGGGUAACGGCCCACCUAGUCUUCGAUGGAUAGGGGUUCUGAGAGGAAGGUCCCCCACAUUGGAACUGAGACACGGUCCAAACUCCUACGGGAGGCAGCAGUGAGGAAUAUUGGUCAAUGGGCGAGAGCCUGAACCAGCCAAGUAGCGUGAAGGAUGACUGCCCUAUGGGUUGUAAACUUCUUUUAUAAAGGAAUAAAGUCGGGUAUGCAUACCCGUUUGCAUGUACUUUAUGAAUAAGGAUCGGCUAACUCCGUGCCAGCAGCCGCGGUAAUACGGAGGAUCCGAGCGUUAUCCGGAUUUAUUGGGUUUAAAGGGAGCGUAGAUGGAUGUUUAAGUCAGUUGUGAAAGUUUGCGGCUCAACCGUAAAAUUGCAGUUGAUACUGGAUAUCUUGAGUGCAGUUGAGGCAGGCGGAAUUCGUGGUGUAGCGGUGAAAUGCUUAGAUAUCACGAAGAACUCCGAUUGCGAAGGCAGCCUGCUAAGCUGCAACUGACAUUGAGGCUCGAAAGUGUGGGUAUCAAACAGGAUUAGAUACCCUGGUAGUCCACACGGUAAACGAUGAAUACUCGCUGUUUGCGAUAUACUGCAAGCGGCCAAGCGAAAGCGUUAAGUAUUCCACCUGGGGAGUACGCCGGCAACGGUGAAACUCAAAGGAAUUGACGGGGGCCCGCACAAGCGGAGGAACAUGUGGUUUAAUUCGAUGAUACGCGAGGAACCUUACCCGGGCUUAAAUUGCAGAUGAAUUACGGUGAAAGCCGUAAGCCGCAAGGCAUCUGUGAAGGUGCUGCAUGGUUGUCGUCAGCUCGUGCCGUGAGGUGUCGGCUUAAGUGCCAUAACGAGCGCAACCCUUGUUGUCAGUUACUAACAGGUUCUGCUGAGGACUCUGACAAGACUGCCAUCGUAAGAUGUGAGGAAGGUGGGGAUGACGUCAAAUCAGCACGGCCCUUACGUCCGGGGCUACACACGUGUUACAAUGGGGGGUACAGAGGGCCGCUACCACGCGAGUGGAUGCCAAUCCCAAAAACCUCUCUCAGUUCGGACUGGAGUCUGCAACCCGACUCCACGAAGCUGGAUUCGCUAGUAAUCGCGCAUCAGCCACGGCGCGGUGAAUACGUUCCCGGGCCUUGUACACACCGCCCGUCAAGCCAUGGGAGCCGGGGGUACCUGAAGUGCGUAACCGCGAGGAGCGCCCUAGGGUAAAACUGGUGACUGGGGCUAAGUCAU
rnacentral:rRNA from 1 species